rnacentral:rRNA from 1 species
AUCUCCCAAGGCUAAAUACUCCCUAGUGACCGAUAGUGAACCAGUACCGUGAGGGAAAGGUGAAAAGCACCCCGGAAGGGGAGUGAAAUAGUUCCUGAAACCGUGUGCCUACAAGUAGUCAGAGCCCUAUGUUUUUUCUAACGAAAAAACCCGGGUGAUGGCGUGCCUUUUGUAGAAUGAACCGGCGAGUUACGAUUACAUGCAAGGUUAAGUUGAAGAGACGGAGCCGCAGCGAAAGCGAGUCUGAAUAGGGCGAAUUUAGUAUGUAGUCGUAGACCC